UGCAGUCGAAGCGGAAGGCCCUUCGGGGCACUCGAGCGGCGAACGUUCGAGUAACACGUGAGCAACCUGCCCCUGGCUCUGGGAUAGCUCCGGGAAACCGGGAUUACCACCGGACAUGACCUGCUGCGGCAUCGCGGCGGGUGGAAAGUUUUUCGGCCAGGGAUGGGCUCGCGGCCUAUCAGCUUGUUGGCAGGGUAAUGGCCUACCAAGGCGACGACGGGUAGCCGGCCUGAGAGGGCGACCGGCCACACUGGGACUGAGACACGGCCCAGACUCCUACGGGAGGCAGCAGUGGG
rnacentral:rRNA from 1 species